rnacentral:lncRNA from 1 species
CCAAGAUCGCAAGGUUUUAACAUGAACUGUUUCUACCUAACACCCCUGCCUCCCCUUCCCUGUCUACUCUAAAUCAACGCUUGUGCUUUGACAUUUUUCAAUCAGGGCCAUUCUGAUACAAGUGAGGUCACAACGCCCCCCUCACAAUUCCCUACCUGUUGGAAGAAAGCCAACUUCUUGGACAAGAACCAAAAACUUAAACAAACUCGGAGGCCUACUGUCCUGCGGGUUUAAAGGCAUCUUGGAACAGAAGCUUAGUAUAUGGGGAGAAAACAGCAUCAGGGUUUCCUUUUGGAUGAAACAUUCAAGAUCAGAAUCUAUGUUUGACCCAUAUAUUUCAUUGAUAAAAGAAGACGAGCCCAGGAAAUGAAUGCAGAGUUACUCAAGCAUGAAGGCAUUACAGUCUUUUAAAGCUGCUUCCAGAUCCAACCUUUAGUACUUUAAACCAUGUGGACGCUUUAUUUUUAUCUGCAAGCCAGGAAAUAAAAGUGUGGUGACUGAGUCCCGUGUGUCGCCUUUGGGGUGACCUCUUUUUCUAGCAGGGGGCGUGUCUUUUUUUUUUUUUUUUAAUUUCUAAGCAAUGCCACCACUAAAGAGUUAACCGGAUUUCACUUGAUUCC